GAAUGGAUGCCCUAAAUACACUUAUUCCUGGCUGUUCGGCUGUCUGCACACCCCUCGUCCGUUUACCGAAUCAACUCUGUGUGGUCCCCUUGUUAACACCUCCUAAUCACGACCACCCCUGGCUGUUGACCACAAAUGAGCAAUUAGUUCAAGUACUUUAUCUAUGUGGCCGCCGUUCGUAUAAACGAAUCCACGUGCUCCAAGAAUUGGUGGCCAUUUU